CCUAGCUGGGCCAGUGCUAGCUGAUAGGCCUAGGCCUAGCUAGGACGGUGCAGCAGCUGAUGAUGCAGUGUUCGAUAGAAAAGAACAUGGUAGAGUAGUGGAAAGUACCUAUAUGAAGUUGAAAAAAAAACCAGAUAAUGAUGGACAUUAGUUGAUAUGAUAAGUUAUGCCAUGGUUAGUAGUUGAUAUCGUUUUAACUCUUUGGUUACCCUGUCAAUUGUUGCUCAUUACCAAUUGUUUUUUACUGUAACAUAUUUCAAAUCUCUGAAUUUUCAGAUAAGUGUUGGCACAUCUCACAGAUACGUGUGAAAAACAUUCAUCCCAUCAACCAUUGUUGGCUAUCAAAGAAGAGAAACCUGUGCUCACAACUACAGAAUGAUGGAUCAGCCCUGAUAAUACAAAUACAAGAUCACUAACCUUCCUAGGCCUAACUACAAUACACUAGUACGCGACCUUCGCAAGCCGCCGGCAGCGGGUAAUGAAUUUUAGAAUGUUUCAAAAAGCAACAAUAUUUGUGAUCAUACGGCAUUACCAAGGAGGUGAAAGCUGUAGAAAGCUCCCACUCAGAUCGGUACAUACUUAACAAAAGAUAAUUGACAAGUUAAAAAGUAAUUAAUUGCUCUGUUUUUGUUUUUUAGUUUACCUUUCUGCAAAGUGCACAUAAUUGAUUUAUUUAUAUUUUCUAAAUUCAGGGUUUU